CGCGGCCUAUCAGCUUGUUGGUGGGGUGAUGGCUUACCAAGGCUUUGACGGGUAGCCGGCCUGAGAGGGUGACCGGUCACAUUGGGACUGAGAUACGGCCCAGACUCCUACGGGAGGCAGCAGUGGGGAAUUUUGCACAAUGGGCGCAAGCCUGAUGCAGCGACGCCGCGUGAGGGAUGGAGGCCUUCGGGUUGUGAACCUCUUUCGCUCAUGGUCAAGCCGCAGUUUUGAUUGUGGUGAGGGUAGUGGGUAAAGAAGCGCCGGCUAACUACGUGCCAGCAGCCGCGGUAAUACGUAGGGCGCGAGCGUUGUCCGGAAUUAUUGGGCGUAAAGGGCUUGUAGGCGGCUUGUCGCGUCUGCCGUGAAAUCCUCUGGCUUAACUGGGGGCGUGCGGUGGGUACGGGCUGGCUUGAGUGCGGUAGGGGAGACUGGAAUUCCUGGUGUAGCGGUGGAAUGCGCAGAUAUCAGGAGGAACACCGGUGGCGAAGGCGGGUCUCUGGGCCGUUACUGACGCUGAGGAGCGAAAGCAUGGGGAGCGAACAGGAUUAGAUACCCUGGUAGUCCAUGCUGUAAACGUUGGGCACUAGGUGUGGGGGCCGUCCUUGGUUUCUGCGCCGUAGCUAACGCUUUAAGUGCCCCGCCUGGGGAGUACGGA
rnacentral:rRNA from 1 species